rnacentral:rRNA from 1 species
CACGUAGGGUGCAAGCGUUGUCCGGAUUCAUUGGGCGUAAAGGGCUCGUAGGCGGCUUAGCAAGUCGGGUGUGAAAACUUCAGGCUCAACCUGGAGCGGCCAUCCGAUACUGCUAUGGCUAGAGUCCGGUAGGGGACCACGGAAUUCCUGGUGUAGCGGUGAAAUGCGCAGAUAUCAGGAGGAACACCGAUGGCGAAGGCGGGGGUCUGGACAGGAACUGACGCUGAGGAGCGAAGGCAAGGGGAGCGAACAGG